rnacentral:rRNA from 1 species
UACGUAGGGACCGAGCGUUGUCCGGAAUCAUUGGGCGUAAAGAGCGUGUAGGCGGCCACUUAAGUCCUGCGUGAAAUCCUGCGGCUCAACCGCAGGCGGUCGUGGGAAACUGGGUGGCUAGAGUGCGGGAGAGGAGAGUGGAAUUCCUGGUGUAGCGGUGGAAUGCGCAGAUAUCAGGAGGAACACCAACGGCGAAGGCAGCUCGCUGGGACGGUACUGACGCUGAGGCACGAAAGCGUGGGGAGCGAACAGG